AGUGAACGCUGGCGGUAGGCCUAACACAUGCAAGUCGAACGGCAGCACAGUAAGAGCUUGCUCUUACGGGUGGCGAGUGGCGGACGGGUGAGGAAUACAUCGGAAUCUACUUUUUCGUGGGGGAUAACGUAGGGAAACUUACGCUAAUACCGCAUACGACCUACGGGUGAAAGCAGGGGAUCUUCGGACCUUGCGCGAUUGAAUGAGCCGAUGUCGGAUUAGCUAGUUGGCGGGGUAAAGGCCCACCAAGGCGACGAUACGUAGCUGGUCUGAGAGGAUGAUCAGCCACACUGGAACUGAGACACGGUCCAGGCUCCUACGGGAGGCAGCAGUGGGGAAUAUUGGACAAUGGGCGCAAGCCUGAUCCAGCCAUACCGCGUGGGUGAAGAAGGCCUUCGGGUUGUAAAGCCCUUUUGUUGGGAAAGAAAAGCAGCAGGUUAAUACCCCGCUGUUCUGACGGUACCCAAAGAAUAAGCACCGGCUAACUUCGUG
rnacentral:rRNA from 1 species